GGCAAAGAUGAAGAGUGCUUUUAUAAUUUCUGACACCUCUUGUAUGAGGAAAGCUUUCUAAAAGCUUUUCUUUGAGCAGGGAUAGCAACUCUCUGAGCC
rfam:Gossypium hirsutum cultivar TM-1 chromosome 2, whole genome shotgun sequence